UGAAUACGAGAUGCUACGGCGUCGAAGCAGUCUAUGUCAUACUUCCAAGAAAAGCUUGCACUGUCAUAAACAAAUAAUGCCUGUACCAUAACCGACACAGGUGGGUAGGUAGAGUAUACUAAGGGGCGCGAGAUAACUCUCUCUAAGGAACUCGGCAAAAUGACUCCGUAACUUCGGGAGAAGGAGUGCCUUAUUUAUAAGGUUGCAAUAACAAGAUCCAAGCAACUGUUUACCAAAAACACAGGUCUCCGCUAAGUCGUAAGACGAUGUAUGGGGGCUGACGCCUGCCCAGUGCCAGAAGGUUAAAGAAGUUGGUUAGCAUCCGCGAAGCUGAUAACUGAAGCCCUGGUGAACGGCGGCCGUAACGAUAACGGUCCUAAGGUAGCGAAAUUCCUUGUCGGGUAAGUUCCGACCCGCACGAAAGGCGUAAUGAUUUGGAUACUGUCUCGGAGAGGGGCUCGGUGAAAUAGACUUGUCUGUGAAGAUGCGGACUACCUGCACCAGGACAGAAAGACCCUAUGAAGCUUUACUGUAACCUGAAAUUGAAAUUGGACUUUACUUGCGCAGUAUAGGUGGGAGGCGUCGAGAAUAUUCUUGCGGGAUUAUUGGAGCCAUCAGUGAGAUACCACUCUUGUAAUGUUAGAUUUCUAACUUUGUAUCAUUAUCUGGUCAAAGAACAGUUUCAGGCGGGCAGUUUGACUGGGGCGGUCGCCUCCUAAACGGUAACGGAGGCGCACAAAGGUUUCCUCUGAACGGGUAGAAAUCGUAUCUAGAGUGUAAAGGCAUAAGGAAGCUUGACUGUGAGACCUACAAGUCGAGCAGGGACGAAAGUCGGUCUUAGUGAUCUGACGGUGCUGAGUGGAAAGGCCGUCACUCAACGGAUAAAAGUUACUCUAAGGAUAACAGGCUGAUCUCCCCCAAGAGUUCACAUCGACGGGGAGGUUUGGCACCUCGAUGUCGGCUCAUCGCAUCCUGGGGCGGUAGUACGUCCCAAGGGUUGGGCUGUUCGCCCAUGAAAGCGGUACGCGAGCUGGGUUCAGAACGUCGUGAGACAGUUCGGUCCAUAUCCGGUGUAGGCGUUAGAAUAUUGAGAGGAGCCUUCUUUAGUACGAGAGGACCGAGAAGGACAUACCUCUGGUGUACCAGUUAUCGUGCCAACGGUAAACGCUGGGUAGCUAUGUGUGGAGUGGAUAACCGCUGAAAGCAUCUAAGUGGGAAGCCCACCUCAAGAUAAGUAUUCU
rnacentral:rRNA from 1 species